rnacentral:rRNA from 1 species
CGCAUCUGUGCAUGCAGCAUAUCAAUAAGCGGAGGAAAAGAAACUAACAAGGAUUCCCCUAGUAACGGCGAGUGAAGCGGGAAGAGCUCAAAUUUGAAAUCUUAAAGGGUUUCCCUUUACGAAUUGUAGUUUAAAGAAGUGUUUUCUGUUGAGGUUUUGGUAAAAGUUCUUUGGAAUAGGACAUCAUAGAGGGUGAGAAUCCCGUAUUUGACCUUUACUUUCAACUUUGUGAUACACUUUCAAAGAGUCGGAUUGGUUUUGGGGAAUGCAGUCCAAAAUGGGUGGUAAAUUUCAUCUAAAGCUAAAUAUUGGCGAGAGACCGAUAGCGAACAAGUACCGUGAGGGAAAGAUGAAAAGAACUUUGAAAAGAGAGUUAAACAGUACGUGAAAUUGUCAAAAGGGAAGCGUUUGACACCAGUGUUGUUUUUCUGAAAAUCAAUUAAAGAACUGUUUAUGCUAAGCUGUUUAGACUUUAUCAGCUAUCUGUUUAGUUUUGAGCUUUUCUUUAAUGCACUUUUCAGUUAACAAGUCAACAUCAAUUUCUUUUGCUGUAAAAAAGCUUGAGGAAGGUGGCUUGAGAUUCGUCUUAAGUGUUUAUAGCCUCUUGCCUAUGCAGUCGGAGAGAUUGAGGUCUGCAGCGUAGAUCCUUCGGGGCUAAAUGCAUUUGUGCUAAGUUAUAGCAUUUUAUAGACAACUUGUUGACUAUGAUUUGUCUUGUAGCUUACUCGCUUAUGUUAUUUUACCUACGCUUAGGAUGUUGAAUCUGUGCGAGACUAC